rnacentral:RNase_P_RNA from 2 species
UAAGGUAGACGCGGUGGUCGCUGGUCCGGAAGGAUAGGAUCAGAGGAAAGUCCGAGCUCCAGAGGGCAGGAUGGUCGCUAACGGCGACUACCCCUCGCGAGGGGUCAGGAAAGUGCCACAGAAAACAGACCGUCCCGUGAAAUAGGCGUAGCCGCCAUCUCACGGGAUAAGGGUGAAACGGUGAGGUAAGAGCUCACCAGUAUCCCGAGUGAUCGGGAUAGCUUGGCAAACCCCAUCCGGAGCAAGACCAAAUAGGAGGGGAAAGGGGUGGCCCGCUCCAUACCCUCGGGUUGGUCGCUUGAGAUAGGCGGCAACGUCUAUCCUAGAUAAAUGACCACCACUCCCAUUGGGAGGACAGAACUCGGCUUAUGAUCUACCUGAGGUC